UACGUAGGGUGCGAGCGUUGUCCGGAAUUAUUGGGCGUAAAGAGCUUGUAGGCGGUUUGUCGCGUCUGCCGUGAAAAUCCGGGGCUCAACCCCGGACUUGCGGUGGGUACGGGCAGACUUGAGUUCGGUAGGGGAGUGGGGAAUUCCUGGUGUAGCGGUGAAAUGCGCAGAUAUCAGGAGGAACACCGGUGGCGAAGGCGCCACUCUGGGCCGAAACUGACGCUGAGGAGCGAAAGCGUGGGUAGCAAACAGG
rnacentral:rRNA from 1 species